GUCCACCAGGACCCCCAAGUCCUUCUCUGCAGGGCUUCUUGCGAGGAGAUCUUCCCCCACUUUGUAUAAAUACCUGGGAUUGCCCUGACCUAAGUGCAGCACCCUGAGAAUAAGAAUCAGAUAUCAAUAAAUGUAAUAGUUUAGUGAGAGUCUAACUAACAGUGAAAAGUGAAAUACAAGCAAAAAGCAAACCAAAGCUACCAAAUUAAGAAUGCCUUCAUCAGCAAAAAACACUGUACCACUGCUUACAUGAAGCCUGGUUUUUGAACUUAGCCAUUUUUAUUAUUAAUAUUUUUUAGAAUUUUGAAAAAUUUUUAAAACGCAGGCUGGAAAAUUUCUAAUUAAGUCACUUAAAUCUACUCAUAAACUCCAAUAAGAAAUUAAACCAGUAUAAAUCAGGACUCAGUAUAAUCUGGGAAAGUAGCAAGUGACUACUCCUCCGGGCUUUGGAGGCAAGCCAACACAAUUACUCUCACCCUGUUCUCUGAGGUGGCAGCUGCAGCAAGAUCAGGAUGCGGAAAACAACCAUGAAAUCAAAGGGUUACAGACUUUGGAGCCAACUCUUCAUUCAUCUGUCGAUCAAGCAGAGCUCCAAACUUGGAUGACAGACCCUUGCCACUCAAUCUCUGUGUUGAAUGCUUAUGAACCACCUAAAGCAACGAAAGCCCUCAUGAAGGUCUAAUGUUAGCCUCACUAUCCCUCCUGUCUUUUUUUGCUGAUGGUAGUAGUAGCAUGAAUAUUUACCAGAGCCAAGAGUAUGCUGUCUUGCAAAUUCUGUUCUCCUAAUAUGUCUGGUUGGACAGUGUUAUUGUAUAAAGUCUACUGACAUUCUGCCAAAUGCCAAUUUAGAUUUUUUUUAAAUGGUUUGUGUUCUGAAAUUUACACACAUGGAGGAAAAACAGUUAUCCAUUUAAAUGCCUCACUUCUCAGUUGGAAAAGAAUUGGCAGCUCUUUUGUUUCUGUGAUGAAUGUAGUUAAGGAGAAGAUAGUUACCUGUGAGAGACAAGUAGUGAGAAGAAAUGACACCCAGGUCCUUUGUCUGGGAUCUGCAUCUUUAUUUGAGAAGAAUAAUUUCAUUAUUUCCAGGCAGUGAGAUCUUCAGAGUAGCUACUGAAGCAUUUAGUAAGAGACAGGAUAAAUAAAUGUACAAAGGGAGAGAGGAGCACAGAAAGGUGAAGUAAUUUAUCCAAGUUAUGCUAAUCAUGUUGGGCAGGGAAAAGAUUCCAGACUUUCUGUGUCCUGAGUCUAUAUUCCAGUUGCUAAGCAACUGUCCUGAAUAUGAGGGUGUCCAAAACACUGUAUAUCAGAUACUAUAGCAUUGGCACACUGACACCUCUGUUUUGAUUCAUGCCAUAACUGAUGUCUAAUAAAGAAAAUAAAUCAG
rnacentral:lncRNA from 7 species